UUUUUUUUGCGUUCUCUUUCCCUCUCCCAACAUGGCAGCCUCAGCAAAAAAGAAGAAUAAGAAGGGGAAGACUAUCUCCCUAACAGACUUUCUGGCUGAGAAUGGGGGUACUGGUGGAGGAAGCACCUAUGUUUCCAAACCAGUCAGCUGGGCUGAUGAAACGGAUGACCUGGAAGGAGAUGUUUCAACAACGUGGCACAGUAAUGACGACGAUGUGUACAGGGCGCCUCCAAUUGACCGUUCCAUCCUUCCCACUGCUCCACGGGCUGCUCGGGAACCCAAUAUCGACCGGAGCCGUCUUCCCAAAUCGCCACCCUACACUGCUUUUCUAGGGAACCUACCCUAUGAUGUGACAGAAGAGUCAAUUAAGGAAUUCUUUAGAGGAUUAAAUGUAAGUGUAAAAGUUGUAAUAAUUAACUAGAUAUUGAGGAUAGUG